AUUGAACGCUGGCGGCAGGCCUAACACAUGCAAGUCGAGCGGAUGAAGGGAGCUUGCUCCUGGAUUCAGCGGCGGACGGGUGAGUAAUGCCUAUGAAUCUGCCUGGUAGUGGGGGAUAACGUCCUGAAACGGGCGCUAAUACCGCAUACGUCCUGAGGUAGAAAGUGGAGGAGCUUCGGACCUCACGCUAUCAGAUGAGCAUAGGUGGGAUUAGCUAGUUGGUGGGGUAAAGGCCUACCAAGGCGACGAUCCGUAACUGGUCUGAGAGGAUGAUCAGACACCCUGGAACUGAGAAACGGCCCAGACUCCUACGGGAGGACGCAGUGGGGAAUAUUGGACGAUGGGCGAAAGCCUGAUCCAGCCCUGCCGCGUGUGUGAAGAAGGUCUUCGGAUUGUAAAGCACUUUAAGUUGGGAGGAAGGGAAGUAAGUUCAUACCUUGCUGUUUUGACGUUACCAACAGAAUAAGCACCGGCUAACUUCGUG
rnacentral:rRNA from 1 species